rnacentral:rRNA from 1 species
UUAGGCUUGAUAAUGGUCAUUAUUAUUUUGUUAUAAUUAAAUUUUUUAUUUAUUUAAAUUUUUUUUAUUUUAAUUUUUUAUUAAAAUAUUGUUUUUAAUUGUUUCUUUCAAGGAAUAAUGUUUUUAAUUAGUAUUAUUUAUAAUUAUAUUUUAGGAAUUCAGCAAUUUUAAAUUUUACCUGUUUAAUAAAAACAUGUCUUUUUGAUAUUUAUUUAAGGUCGAACCUGCCCAAUGAUUUAAAAUUUAAUGGCUGCAGUAUUUUAACUGUACGAAGGUAGCAUAAUCACUUGUUCAGUAAUUUUGGACUGGAAUGAAGGGUUUGAUAAAAAUCUAUCUUUCUUAUUUAUAUAAAUAAAAAUUUAUUUUUUUAGUUAAAAAACUAAAAUUUUUUUGUAGGACGAGAAGACCCUAUAGAGCUUAACAUCUUUUUUUAUUAUAUAAUAAAAAAAGAUGUUAGAUUGGGGUGAUUGAAAUUUUUAAUUAACAAUUUUUUUAUAUAUCAUUAAUUAUUGAUUUUUUGAUCCAUUUAUUUUGAUUAUAAGAUUAAGUUACCUUAGGGAUAACAGCGUGAUUUAAUUGGAGAGUUCUUAUCGAUAAUUUAAGUUUGCGACCUCGAUGUUGAAUUAAGAUUAAAACUAGGGGUAGAUCUUUAUGUUUUUGGUCUGUUCGACCAUUUAAUUCUUACAUGAUUUGAGUUUAGACCGGCGUGAGCCAGGUCGGUUUCUAUCCUUAAUUAGAAUUUUUAUUUUUUAGUACGAGAGGACCAAAAAUUUAAUAAAUAUUUU